GACGAGCGCUGGCGGCGUGCCUAAUACAUGCAAGUCGAACGGGGUAGCAAUACCUAGUGGCGCACGGGUGAGUAACGCGUGGAUAAUCUGCCUUAGAGUGGGGGAUAACUAGUCGAAAGAUUAGCUAAUACCGCAUAAGACCACAAGAACUGCGGUUCAAGGGGUCAAAGGUUUUUCGCUCUAAGAUGAGUCCGCGUAAGAUUAGCUAGUUGGUGAGGUAAUGGCUCACCAAGGCGACGAUCUUUAACUGGUCUGAGAGGAUGAUCAGUCACACUGGAACUGAGACACGGUCCAGACUCCUACGGGAAGCAGCAGUAGGGAAUAUUGCACAAUGGAGGAAACUCUGAUGCAGCGACGCCGCGUGAGUGAUGAAGGCCUUCGGGUCGUAAAGCUCUGUCGCAGGGGAAUAACACAAUGAAUGUACCCUGUAAGAAAGGAUCGGCUAACUUCGUGCCAGCCGCCGCGGUAAGAC
rnacentral:rRNA from 1 species